rnacentral:snRNA from 1 species
UAAGUCUAAUUUCACCGCAAUAAUCGCGUAACAAUUUCGCCUUUUACUAAAUUAUUCCGUGCGGGGGAAUUCUAUAAUGACGUAUUAAAUACAUUUUUACGGUUGUGAAAACAACCA